UACGGAGGGUGCAAACGUUGCUCGGAAUCAUUGGGCGUAAAGCGCACGUAGGCGGCCCAGCCAGUCGGGUGUGAAAGCCCUCGGCUUAACCGAGGAAGUGCAUUCGAAACUACUGGGCUUGAGUACUGAAGAGGAUCGCGGAAUUCCCGGUGUAGAGGUGAAAUGCGUAGAUAUCCGGAGGAAUACCAAAGGCGAAGGCAGUGUCCUGGGGAGUGUCUGACGCUCAGGCGCGAAAGCUAGGGGAGCGAACAGG
rnacentral:rRNA from 1 species